GUAGGGUGAUGUAGAUCAAACUCUUUUGUAUUAGCACCUAAAUAAAUCUAUAAGCAACGAUUUAUAAGUUGGUGCACAUAUUUAAACUCCACAAUUCACAAUAAAUACUUUGUAACUGUAUUUGGUGUUAAUGCGUAAUUUUUAAGAAAUAUGAUAUGUGAUGUAUGUUGGUGCAAAUAUAACAUAUUUCUUCUACAGAAACCUACACACACAUUCAAACCUACUCACAACAUUUUAAUGCUUUCUUGUAGAACUCCAAAAUGUUACUGUUUGUUUGUUUGUUUGUUUGUUUUUAUAUUGAUACAUGCGUUAUGCGUCACCCAUUCUUUUAUCUGUCGAAACAAAGCAAGUCCAACUUUGUCAACUAAAAGUCAAAUACCUUGUAUGGGCUUCGACCACAUGGUUGUCUUCGUCCUCUUCAUCGUCGUCGUGAUGCUCGUGCUCGCCCGCCACUGUGACCUAGAAGUCAUUCGGAACACCACAGCACAGUCACAGCGUCUGUCAGAUCGCGCGGUGUCGUUGGUGUGUGCAUUAGAACAAAAACAAACAAACGAAGAAAGAAGAAGAAGAAAGAAAGAGGAGGGAGAAGAAGAAGUAGAUUAGAAAAGAAAAAAAAAAAAAAACAAAUGAGAAGGGCGGGGAGGGCGGGGCUUUCCAAUCUGGUCUGGAGCAGUUCCCGAGUGAGAUCGGCACCAGUCCUGCUGCACCUGCUCCUCCACCUGCGUCCUCAUCACAUCUGAGAAUGGAAGCUACAUCAAUCCACUCUCUGUUGUCUGUAAGACAUCAACGACUGCCAUUUCCUUCGUCUUUUGUCGUUUUUCUGUUGUCUUGUGUUCCACGGUCGCCGUCGUCGUCAUCGCCAUCAUCAUCGCUGUCGGUGU
rnacentral:lncRNA from 1 species